UUAGAAUACUCCUUUCUCGCCACCGUCGAGCCCUUCUUCCUCACCUCCGACUUCUUCUCCUCAUCGUUGCCAUGCCUCUUGCUUCACGUGUUCAUCUGUGCUGGUCGUCUGUUUUCUGUCUUGUGCUAAGCUGAAUCUCUGCUCUUUUCUUUGCUGUUCUGUGGCUCAAAGAGGUGCACUCAUGCGUGUAUGUUCAGCUUUUCUUUUCUUUCUCUCAAUAGUUGGAAGUCUAUGUGUGUAUGGUAAUCCAAUUUGAGGUUUGCUUGCUAAAAUUUUAUGUCUUCUUCCUUCCUCGGUUCUGCUCUGUUUGGGGGCUAAUGAAGGUGGCGUAUGCAUGCAUAUUCAGCCUUAGUUUUUCUUUUUCCUCAGCUGCUAGGCACCGUGUGUGUGUGUGUGUGUGUGUGUGUGUAGAGAAAGCUCAAGUCUUUAUGCACACACACACACACGCUGAUUCUGCUUCUUCUUCACGUGGAGCGGCUGGGUUGAACUCCUCUUUUAUCUUUUGGUGUAGUCUAUGAACUAAGGAGAGGCUGUUAUUUCUGCUCUUCUAUUCAAGGCUCAAGUCAUUGCCCAGCUUCCACCACGAUUAAUCAGAUUAGGUGGAUCCAAAUGUGAUUCAAUGGAACCUCAUUUAUCAAAUACAGAGAUAUGGAAUUUGGUUGCUUCAUGUGACCAUGAGGUAUUUUUGUCUACUUUGAAUCUAUCCAAUGAUUUAUGUGUAUUUUUUAACUAUAUAUAUAUAAUAUAAUUAAUUCUUUAUUUUAGUAUUGUCAGCGAACUAAAUGCGUAAAUACCUAACGUGAAAUUGUGAAUAUAACAAUUUAGUAAUGUUGUAGCCGGAAUAUCUUCCCCAAAGAUUUUCUUGCAAUCAUACCAGGAUGUAAAAUGCCAUAAUGGUUUCCAAAUGAAGAAUAUUAUCUUUUGGGUGAUUAUGGAAAGAAAUACUGAGAUAAAAGUAGACAUACCUCAAAAUUUCCGUACAAGUGAAUGGUUCGGAAAAGUUGUAUGCCUCCAAUGUGUCUCAUGUCGGGGGGUGAGAUCUGGUGGAAUAGUAAAAGUGCAAAAGAUGAUAUCAUCAUAUAUGCAAAGACUUGGCACAUUCUAUUUACUUUGGGGGUGAUAUGACUCCACACUUGUGCAUGACGGUGUUGGAAUUAAAUGAAAAAAAGUAUGUUGGCAACAUCUAACACCUCAUAACACAACUCUCUUCACAUUUUACUUAAUUAUGCUAAUUCCAUUAGAAUAUUGGGAUGUGGGUGGCGAGUGUCAUGUUAAAAAGACAUGCAAGAGUGGUGCCAUCUCAAUCAUUUGACCCAACCAAAACUGACUACUCCUGAUGUGAUCAAGCUUUCAUGGUCCCUCCUUGACGAAGUAGCUGGAAUAGUACUGUAUGACGCACGAAGAAGAGAGAAAAAGACAAUAACAGGUGAUGACAUGCAAGAGUUAUGAAUUUGAAGCUAUCCACUGUUAAUUAAUUCUAAGAGCUAGGUGAGUACGUUUGUCUCUUACUAUUAUCAAAUAGGAUAAAUAGUUGCUCUAAUUAAUUCUGAAAAUAAUUGAGGCCUGAGGGAUAGAAGAGCUCGAGUUGGUAAAGCAAGCAAUUGGAAGGAGGGAGUGCAGUUUCACAAAGAAAGGAGGGACUUGCAUUUGUAAUUAACAUUCACCAGAUUAGUAUGUGAACACAUCUACUCUGGAAUUUCAGGCGGCUUCCAUGAGAUUGCUGCAAGUGGAUGGAUUCCAAUUUCAGU